GGGGGCGUAGCUCAGAUGGUAGAGCGCGCGCUUAGCAUGCGCGAGGUACCGGGAUCGAGGUACCGGGAUCGAUACCCGGCACCUCCA
rnacentral:tRNA from 1 species